rnacentral:lncRNA from 1 species
AAGGACACACCAUAGCUGAGCCCGUGUUUCCUCAGCAAGACACCAUAAGAAUGCUAGACAAAGCCGCUGCUCUGAUGCCUCGCGUCCAUUGCCUCCUAGUGGCCAAGGAGGGAUGGGGAGGUUCGCCUCAAACGUGGAAUGUGUGUGGGCAAGCACUCGGGCGUGAGAGUAAUCAGGGUCCGGUGAAUUGCUCAUCGGAGAUUGUUGAGCACUGCGGAGCCGCCUCUUCUUGGGCAGAGCACGUCAUGUCACCAUCGUAGGUAAGUAGCUUUGGGAUCGAUUCGUUUUGACUCGUUCAUUGCAUAGACCGUAGUAGUAGAUGGUUUGGGAGCACUGGGUGUCGGCGGGCUUCUCCGGUGAGUGCCCGCCGCUGUGGUAGGGCACACGCCGCCGCUGCCUGGUUGAGCAAGGUAGAGGAAUGAUCGGGUACCAUGGAUCUUGGGACUGAUGGUGGGGAUUAGAUCCCCAAACACCCUUCGAGUAUUUUCAUCUGGGACGAUCGAUCGAGUUUGGAUGGCAUAGAUUCGUGGAUGACGUGGUUGAGCGAGGGCCAUUGGUCCAUGAUCGGUCGGGUGAGCGUGAGUACCAGUUCAGCGGAGAUCUUAUCUAAUCCUGAUCAUAUAUUCCUAAUUGAACGACUAAGUGUAUUGGGUAACCCUUUGUCGCUGGACUUUUCGCUAAAGUGUCCAUGUCUAAUGCGAAAACCAACCCACAAUCCAUUCCUAUACAAAGGUCCAUUCAUAUAGGUCCGGGGAUUCGUAGUUUAGUCCCAAGGCUUUUGAAAUUCCUGACCCACAGUCCUGAUCCCGGGAACGAUUUGUAAAAUAAAACCCUAAAUUGUUUUGAUGUGGAAAUAAUUCUAAAAAUCCUCAGAAAAUUCAUAUCUCCUAUGUUUAACCCUAAUUUUAGUGUUUCUCAAACUUAUGGAUUCAUUGCGACGCAUAGAAUACUAUUAUGCAGUUGCUUUAUUGCUUGGUGUGUUGUUAAUUUUUGCCUAUAUAUUGUUUGUUGGUAUUGUUGUGAGUAGACGAGCCAGCAUCCGAGUAGCCCGAAGCACCGCAUGUUGAGGAAUCUGAGUAGGAGCUCGUAGAAGGCAAGUUGUGCCCUUAAUCACAUUCUUUACCUAAUAACUUUUUUGUUAAUCACCAUGCAUGCUUAGGUUAAUUUUAUGGGACCUAAUAGGUUACCCAGUUUUGUCUACCCCACACCUUGGAUACAAAUGAAUUAUUGGGUAGUCUUGCUAUUGCUCUACCUGGUUUUAGGGUUGAUGUUACUUAUGAUUCACGCUCAUGUUGCAUUAUGAUUUAUUAUUGUUGCCUUUAUUAUGUUACAUGAUAAGAUCAUUUUUGCUAAUUAGAACAUGGAGCGACCACCUGAGAUAAUAGUGCAACCACAAGAACUAUAUGGCUCUAGUCUUUGCUAAUUAAUUAUGAAAAAUAGUGUGGGUUAAUCCUUUCCCGAAAGAGCAAGCAUCUAGGCAUCGCUGAAGGGUAUGGUGCUCGCUAUAAUUAAAGCGAUGGGGUUACAGACCGUGGAAAAAGGCCUAUGCUUCCUUCGUCCUGAAACCGUAGUGGGUUUUCUCAAGCUAGUGGAACUUUGUAAAGGCCUCGUAGUGAGCCCUUGUCUACUCACAUUGGUAGUAUUUAAGGGUUUGCGCAACCCGAGGCAAAAAGGGGGAUCACGACUUGUGGGUAAAGACGUGCCACCUCUGCAGAGUGUAAAACUGAUAUAUCAGUCGUGCUCACAGUCAUGAGCGGCUCAGACCCUCACAUGAGUAAUUUAUGGAAUUAAACUUAACAUGUCAUUUGCAUCACAUUGUGGGAUUUAUUAUUAAUUGUGAUCCAUGAUUUAAUUGGGUUAGUAUCUACUUACACUUACUAAUUGCUAAUAAAUUUUUGUCCAACUUAUUAAAAGCAAUGUUCAGCCUUAACCAUUAUUUGUUGACAAGUCUUACACUUCACAUGAGCCCCCACCGUAAGUAAGCUCUUGCACAUUAUUCCCCACACUUGCUGAACAAUGAACUUAUGUGAGCUCACUCUUGCUAUAAUCCCCACACACAGGUAAAGAGCAGGUACCGCGGGAGGAAGAUUACUACGAUGAGUUCGAU